UCCAACUUAUCGCUGGCGGUCUCCUGCGAGUUCCCAACUGAAUGAUGGCAACACAGGACAAGGGUUGCGCUCGUUGCGGGACUUAACCCAACAUCUCACGACACGAGCUGACGACAGCCAUGCAGCACCUCGACUGGACCCCCUUGCGGGGUAGCGCUGUUUCCAACGCCGUUGACCAGCCGUUCGAGCCCAGGUAAGGUUCUUCGCGUUGCGUCGAAUUGAACCACAUGCUCCACCGCUUGUGCGGGCCCCCGUCAAUUCCUUUGAGUUUCAGCCUUGCGACUGUACUCCCCAGGCGGCAUAUUUAACGCGUUAGCUCCGGCACGGACAGAAUGAACUGCCCACACCAAAUAUGCAUCGUUUAGGGCGUGGACUAC
rnacentral:misc_RNA from 1 species